rnacentral:lncRNA from 11 species
UACAAAUUGUGGAGUAAAUGAAACAGCCUGCUCCCUAAGACUGAGUUUGUGGGUCUUCUGUCAAAGCCUUUGGGGUGGAACAAAAGCACCAGGUGGGGUUAGGAAUACCCGCUGGGUCCUAAUUGGUGCCCAGUGUUGUUAAUGGCUUCCUGUGGUUGAAUGUUUACUUGUCAUUUGUUUUGAGCUUUGUUUCCCAGCUUUUGAAGGGGAGAAAUACUGACCAAAAAUGUAUCUUUUUUUUCUUAAAAGCAUCAUCCUGGUCAUAAAAUGCCCUUCUGCAAAUUGUCUCAUGAUACAAAAUACCUGGAGUCCAUCCCACAGUCGCGCAAUUAUUUGAUUAUUGGGUUGCAGAAUGAAUUAAGUAAACUCAGAAUCAUAAAGAACCAGCAAGAUUAUGAAGACUUUUGGAAACUAGCCCAGGAGGGCAUUCGUGGCUCUAAUCUCAAAGAAAAGCUUCCAGAUAUAAAAGCAAAAAUGUUUGCUGCGAAGUCUAUGUUUCUCUCAGCAUCAGCAAGAAUUCUCCCACAACAGCAAGUAAAUGGCUCUACAAAUAGCAGAAGACUGAAAAAAGUAGGCAAACAAGGUUUCGGCUUUCCCCCCUAUUUAUUGCCUGCUUUAAUUUGUGAGAUUUUUUUAUUAUGGUUAGUGAUAUGUGGUUGCUUUUAUUCUGCUUCUCAAGUCAGUACAAAUGUGAGGUAGAAGGAAAUUGCUGUGACAGAAAGACUCCUUUUAUGUGACACUCUAAAAAGAUCACUAUAUUUCUUAUAAAUGUAAAACUGAAUGAGGAAGAAACAUUUUAUCAUUUGAAAUCUUAGUUCUGUUUUAAAAGGCAUGUCUAACACCUUGUUUGUGUUAUUUCCAUUGAAAUCUGUUUUUUCUGUACAGUGCUGAUAUUCCUCCCAUUCUAGCCUAAAAGGCUCUCCUAUGAAAUGUUCAUAAAAUAAUCAAAUUUCCUGAUUCAGUAUUCCAUAUUUCUGUGUGUAGACAGUGUAGUUUGUUUGAAGCACAAAAGGGUAUUAUGUUGUCUUGCAGUUGAUGUUGGACUCCCAUAAAUCCCAGCCAGAGAAAGUAAUGUACCUUUUGUUGUAGGUGGAUUGCACAGGGCUCAACUGCUAAGGUGAAAGGGACAGGACUUGACUUAUUUGGAAGCCAGCCCAUUCCUAAGUGUGUGCAUGCACAUUUGUGCUUGGGUAUGUCUUAGGGUAAUGAUUCUCGACCUUCACUAGAUGCCCAGGCCGCCCACUCAUGCGC